AGACCUGAAAUCAGUCGAGGUUACCAGCUGAAUUUGAGCACAUUACUAAGCGGAAGAAAAGAAAAUAACAAUGAUUCCCCUAGUAACGGCGAGUGAAGCGGGAAGAGCUCAAGGUGAAAACCGUGAGUCCCCGAUUUGGCCUCACGAAUUGUAUCCUCUAGAGGCGUUGCCAGUGGGAAGGCAGGUCUAAGUUUCUUGGAACAGAACUUCAGAAAGGGUGACAGUCCCGUUCUUUGUCCUGCUCGGUGCUCCCCACGUACGGUGCGCUUUUAUUGAGUCGCGUUCGUUGGGAUUUGAGCGCAAAACGUGUGAUAAGCUCCACAUAAAGCUAAAUAUUGGCAUGAGACCCAUAGCGAACAAGUACUGAAAAGGAAAGAUGAAAAGGGCUUUGGAAAGAAAGUUAAAAGUGUCGAAGAGAUUGAAAGCUUUUGUCCCUAGGGUGCCGGUGAGGUUCAGUACUUGUAUCUCUUAUAUCUCCAUUAUAGUGCUUGGGGGGUAUAUUUAUUACUGUAUUUCACUACGAUUUCUUGAGGAUGGUCAGCAUCAGUGGACGCCCGACUAUUGUCCCCAAGGAAGGUAAGCCUCCCCAACGAAGGUAGGCCCAUCGUGGGCUGUUAUAGCCUUUGGGUUUGUGGUGUUCAGGUGUUUGCAGAGGUGUAUUUUCCCCGUGCGAUGGGCACACUUUUGAGUACCGUCGCUCUGCGAUGCUGCCCUUAACAGUUCCAAACUACCCGUCUUGAAACAUAGACCAAGGAGUCUAACGUAUGUGCGCGUAUGCGGGCGGAAGCCCUGUAUGCACAAUGAAAGUGAGAGUAGGGAGAGGUUUUGCUUUUUGCAGCCCUCCCAUCUACGACCGACCAUGAACUUUGGGAGAGGUUUGAGUUGUAGCACAUCUGUUAGGACACGAAAGAUGGUGAACUACGGCUGCGUAGGGUGAAGUCAGGCGAAAGACUGAUGGAAGCUCGUAGCGAUACUGACGUGCAAAUCGUUCGUCAAACUUGGGUAUAGGGGCGAAAGACUAAUCG
rnacentral:ncRNA from 1 species